GACGAACGCUGGCGGCGUGCUUAACACAUGCAAGUCGAACGGAAAGGCCCUGCUUUUGUGGGGUGCUCGAGUGGCGAACGGGUGAGUAACACGUGAGUAACCUGCCCUUGACUUUGGGAUAACUUCAGGAAACUGGGGCUAAUACCGGAUAGGAGCUCCUGCUGCAUGGUGGGGGUUGGAAAGUUUCGGCGGUUGGGGAUGGACUCGCGGCUUAUCAGCUUGUUGGUGGGGUAGUGGCUUACCAAGGCUUUGACGGGUAGCCGGCCUGAGAGGGUGACCGGCCACAUUGGGACUGAGAUACAGCCCAGACUCCUACGGGAGGCAGCAGUGGGGAAUAUUGCACGAUGGGCGGAAGCCUGAUGCAGCAACGCCGCGUGCGGGAUGACGGCCUUCGGGUUGUAAACCGCUUUCGCCUGUGACGAAGCGUGAGUGACGGUAAUGGGUAGAGAAGCACCGGCUAACUACGUG
rnacentral:rRNA from 1 species